GAUGAACGCUGGCGGCGUGCCUAAUACAUGCAAGUCGAGCGAACAGAUAAGGAGCUUGCUCCUUUGACGUUAGCGGCGGACGGGUGAGUAACACGUGGGUAACCUACCUAUAAGACUGGAAUAACUCCGGGAAACCGGGGCUAAUGCCGGAUAACAUUUAGAACCGCAUGGUUCUAAAGUGAAAGAUGGUUUUGCUAUCACUUAUAGAUGGACCCGCGCCGUAUUAGCUAGUUGGUAAGGUAACGGCUUACCAAGGCAACGAUACGUAGCCGACCUGAGAGGGUGAUCGGCCACACUGGAACUGAGACACGGUCCAGACUCCUACGGGAGGCAGCAGUAGGGAAUCUUCCGCAAUGGGCGAAAGCCUGACGGGGCAACGCCGCGUGAGUGAUGAAAGUCUUCGGAUCGUAAAACUCUGUUAUUAGGGAAGAACAAAUGUGUAAGUAACUGUGCACGUCUUGACGGUACCUAAUCAGAAAGCCACGGCUAACUACGUG
rnacentral:rRNA from 1 species